rnacentral:rRNA from 1 species
AAGUGCUUGGUCGAGAUUGUAAGAUACAUUUAACAAUGACCUCAAAUCAGGCAAGAAUACCCGCUGAACUUAAGCAUAUCAAUAAGCGGAGGAAAAGAAACUAACAAGGAUUCCCCUAGUAACGGCGAGUGAAGAGGGAAAAGCUCAAAUUUUAAAUCUGCCUUGUUUCAAGGUCGAGUUGUAAUUUGAAGAAGCGUUUUCUUGGGCUCGCGGCCGGUAGAAGUUCUUUGGAACAGGACAUCAUAGAGGGUGACAAUCCCGUCUGCGACCGGUCGUGUGUUCAUCUACGAUACGCUUUCAAAGAGUCGAGUUGUUUGGGAUUGCAGCUCCAAAUGGGUGGUAAACAUCACCUAAGGCUAAAUAUUGGCGAGAGACCGAUAGCGAACAAGUACCGUGAGGGAAAGAUGAAAAGAACUUUGAAAAGAGAGUUAAACAGUACGUGAAAUUGUUGAAAGGGAAACGAUUGAAGUCAGUCGUGCUGGCGCGAAAUCAACCCUCUCGUCGAGAGAUCACAUGGCGUGGCGAGCCUCAAAACCGUCACGAAGCGUGAACUCUUGGCGAAAGGGAGCACUUUCGUGUCCGCUGGUUAACAUCAAUUUCGAACGUCAUAAAAAGGCUGGAGGGAUGUGGCUCCUUCGGGAGUGUUAUAACCUUUAGCGGAAUGUGGUGGUCGGGAUUGAGGAUUGCAACGAAUACCUUUAGGGCUGUUCCACCUGGCCUCUCUCUGGUAUCCUGGUGACGACAGCUUGCUGACGUCGUUAGGAUUCGCCUUUGAACGGGCUAGAGUGUGAGCAAAUUCGUUAAGGAUGUUAACGUAAUGGCUUUAAACGACC